GUUUGUAAAUAUGUUAAGAUCCUAAGCCCAAUUUAUAAAGUUUUGUAACCCUAAUUACAUUAGGUUCCAACUCUAAUUAGGAAUCGCAAAUCAAAUAAAACUGCUAACUUUUAAAUAAAAUAAACUACUAUUUCCUAUACUUUUUCCUAAAAUAAGCAGUCCUAAUAGUCCUAAAAGUCCUAAAACCUUUAGGAUUAUGCAGAACCAAUAGGCAUUGGGGAUUUAGGGUGAGAAACAUCUCAAAUUGAAGAGAAACUAAUUCUCAAUUUAUUUGCUCAAAUUCAAUAGUCAAUAAUCACAAUAAAAUCUCUAAGCAUGUAGAGAUCCUAGGCCCUAUUUACCCUAAUUACAUUAGGAUUAGGA
rnacentral:misc_RNA from 1 species